rnacentral:rRNA from 1 species
UACGAAGGGGGCUAGCGUUGCUCGGAAUUACUGGGCGUAAAGCGCACGUAGGCGGAUCUUUAAGUCAGGGGUGAAAUCCUGGAGCUCAACUCCAGAACUGCCUUUGAUACUGAGGGUCUUGAGUUCGGGAGAGGUGAGUGGAACUGCGAGUGUAGAGGUGAAAUUCGUAGAUAUUCGCAAGAACACCAGUGGCGAAGGCGGCUCACUGGCCCGAUACUGACGCUGGGGUGCGAAAGCGUGGGGAGCAAACAGG